GAGCAGGAGGAGCCCAGCCCCAAGCUGGGCCCAUUGCGGGCCAAGGGAUCCUCCGCCUGGCAUCCCAGGUGAGUGCGCACGGGCGAGCACCGGGGUGUGGUGGAGGCUUUCAAAGGCCGGGGGGCCUCGCUGGCCCCCUGGCUAGCUAGGGCCAGGUUAGGGCUAAGCUGCUGAACAUUUGCGAUGCUCACUUUUAGCUCACGGGUGAUAAGUUUGUGCUGUUGUUGUUAUUGAGGCUGAGCUUUGUCUGGGAGUUUGGAGCCUCGAAGGUUUUGCUUUAGGCUCUGCGGUGGAUGAGAACAUGGAGCAGGAGCUGGAAACCGAGCAGGAGCCCCGAAAGUUUUGUUCUAGGUUCUGCGGUGGAUGCAGAGAUGGAGCAGGAGCAGAACUGGAGCUGGGAACGGAGCAGGAGCCUCCAAAGUUUUGUUCUAGGUUCUGCGGUGGAUGCAGACAUGGAGCAGGAGCAGAGCUGGAUCUAGGAACGGAGCGGAAGCGGGCUGGCUGGAGGAGCACAGGGGCCGGAGCUGCAUUCAGCUGCCCGGGGGCAGGCAGCGCUGCCAGGACCCUGGCGCACACCCGCACAGGCUGUGCCGUGCCCCGGCAGGAGCUUUUGCAGCAGCUGCUCUCCGCUGCGGGUUCAGUGUCCUGCUGCAAGGAGGCUCUGCCUGCAGCUCAGAGCUGCCUUGCACCGUCUCAAGGGGCUCUCCAGGAAGGAGUCCCUCAGCCUGCUCUCAGCUCUCCUUCAGCUGCUGAAACGUAGCUCGAAGGUCUCCCUGGAGCCUUCUCCUCUCCAGGCUGAGCAGCCACAGCUCUCUCAGGCUGCCUUCACAGCAGAGCUUCUCCCACCCUCUGCUCAUGUUUGUGGCUUGCUCUGGAAGCCCUCCAGCAGCUCCCUGUCUCCCUUGUGUUGGGGGUGCCCCAGGGCUGGCCACAGCAGUCCAGGCUGAGCUCUCCCCAAAGCAGAGGGGCAGAUGGUUCACAAGCACAGACCCCACAGGCUGCCCAGCGACCUUCCCACACUGCAGCUACAGGUUUCAGUCAGAUCCUUUUAGUAUCAAAGCUGAGAGACUUGAGGGCUAAGGCACCAGCAGCACUGUGCUUCAAGCCAGAGAAACACCAAAUAAAAGGAGACCUCUCUUAAUUGCAGUUUAAUUGCCCAAGCCAAGCACUAAGACAAGGAACAUGCAGAUGAAUUGGGUGACUUGCAGAGCCUUGAUAGCUUUAUGAGGCUGCUCCAACACAGUGACCAGUUACAAACUGCUUCCCUGUGGAAGCAUUUUCACUUUCAGUGUUCUCCAAGCACCUGAUUUUUCACACAGACCCUUUCCUCUGUGGCCCCAAAGGUAUUCAUUAAUUAAAAGGAAAAUCUUUGCUUUCCAGUAAGGACAAUAAGAGAAAUGCUUUGGUCUAAACAAUCCUUGAAGCUUUCCUCUUGGAUUGUUGAAAUGAGCUGUAAUGAAUGCCAAGUUGCUGGCCAGGUGAGCUGAGUUCAAGGCAAGUGUUGAUGAACACAGCCAAAGGACAAAGCCUGCUCACACAAUGUGCCUCAGCUGAAAGCACAAAGUGAUGCCUAUGUCUGUUUGUUCCCUCCUUACCUGCUGGCCAUGACCCUAACUACAGACCCUCUGCCUGCACUGCCUAACAGGCUCAGCAGUGUCAGAGCAGAGAGGCAGCCACAGGCUCUCAAUGCACACCAAUGGCUUGGGCUGCAGCUCUGUUGAGCCCUGGGUUUAAUCCUCCCUUCCUAGCCUGUUCUGCCUGUGAAAGCCUUCAGCUUAGCCUGCAGCUCCUUCUGGU